rnacentral:rRNA from 2 species
GGGUUGUGAGGUUAAGCGACUAAGCGUACACGGUGGAUGCCCUGGCAGUCAGAGGCGAUGAAGGGCGUGCUAAUCUGCGAUAAGCGCCGGUAAGGUGAUAUGAACCGUUAUAACCGGCGAUACCCGAAUGGGGAAACCCAGUGUGACUCGUCACACUAUCAUUAACUGAAUCCAUAGGUUAAUGAGGCGAACCGGGGGAACUGAAACAUCUAAGUACCCCGAGGAAAAGAAAUCAACCGAGAUUCCCCCAGUAGCGGCGAGCGAACGGGGAGGAGCCCAGAGCCUGAAUCAGCAUGUGUGUUAGUGGAAGCGUCUGGAAAGACGCGCGAUACAGGGUGACAGCCCCGUACACAAAAGCGUAUGUGCUGUGAGCUCGAUGAGUAGGGCGGGACACGUGGUAUCCUGUCUGAAUAUGGGGGGACCAUCCUCCAAGGCUAAAUACUCCUGACUGACCGAUAGUGAACCAGUACCGUGAGGGAAAGGCGAAAAGAACCCCGGCGAGGGGAGUGAAAAAGAACCUGAAACCGUGUACGUACAAGCAGUGGGAGCACAGGUUUACCUGUGUGACUGCGUACCUUUUGUAUAAUGGGUCAGCGACUUAUAUUCUGUAGCAAGGUUAACCGAAUAGGGGAGCCGGAGGGAAACC